UCCUCUCGUUUGUAAAUGUAUUAUGUUCUUAUGUAAUGGACACUUCAGGCUUCCACACCGCUCUCUGUGUUUUUCCGCAGUGUUCAUCUCUCACGCCGCUGCCAGCCUCUCUUUCUCUCUCAUUAUGCUCUGACCUUGUGCUGAAUCUGGUCUUUACAGCCUCUCACCCACUUAUCCGUCUUCCUCCACGCAGCUGAAUGUUUGCUACGCUUCACACGGCCUUGUAUGCGUUUGGCUUCAUAUAGUGAAAUUUAUGAAAAAUACAUUUUCAUGGAAUAAAUAUAUUUUGUUCCAUGAAUCGCCUCAGCUGUUGCCCUUCCGUGGCUGAGUGUUACUUAAUGCUGUCUGGUUACUGACUGGAUGUCGUUUUAUUUAAAAUUGCCCUCAGCGGACCCAGUCUGUAACUAAGCUAUUGUCAGCUGUGUGUCAAUAGCGCUAUAAGUUACGCACUAGUUCAUCAAGAAGAAGAGCAAUUUUAUGUGUGUGAACUAUAUUGCGGUUGAAUUAUUGUGGAGAGACCUUCACAGAUGAGGAGCGGAACAUGAUUGAGUGGACGGUUGUUACACGGAGGGUUUUAGCUGAGAACGCUCAGCAAAUGUGGGUACCUCAGGAGCCGGUGGUAAGCCAAACCUACCAACCCCGUCCUCUACCAACCCCGUCCUCAGGAGCCGGUGGUCCCUAACCUACCAACCCCGUCCUCAGGAGCCGGUGGUCCCUAACCUACCAACCCCGUCCUCUGGGAAGUAUACUAAGUACACUACGUUUUCUCAAGGGGAGCAGGAUCGCGUCUUCGCAGCGUCGUCGAUGUUUUGGAGCUAAACUGAAAGCGACGCGUUCCAUCGCCAGCCUGCACUCGGGAGCCACUGGCUACUUGCUAAAUGCCACGGUGAAUGGGGCUGAUGUUCAGUGAUCCCAACACACACGACUCAACGGCAGCCCCAAAAAGGCCCCCCGCCACAUCCCUGCUGAAUCGCCACAUCCCUGCUGAAUCGCCACGUCCCAGCUGAAUCGCCACGUCCCUGUUGAAUCGCCACAUCCCAGCUGAAUCGCCACAUCCCUGCUGAAUCGCCACAUCCCUGCUGAAUCGCCACGUCCCUGCUGAAUCGCCACAUCCCUGCUGAAUCGCCACAUCCCUGCUGAAUCACCACAUCCCUGCUGAAUCACAUUGAUGGCGGCCUUGUCUCUUUUUGCCCUUGCUGAAAUUGCACUCCAUUCUAAUUUUAUUAGUAACCUUGAAAAGAAAAACAUUUGUUUCAAGUUUAACCAACAGCUGGGGCUUGACAUCCGUCGGAAGAAAUUUUAAUCUUUAAUUUGAAAGUGUGCAAUGUGUUGUUAUGCUACAUGACGCUGGGAACAGAGAGCAGGCUUCAUGCUCCUUUCUUUUACAGAUCUGCCUUCUCUCGAAAUGGGUCAUAAACAGACAGCGCACCCCCAACAGUUUGAUUAUAAAAACACUUAAUAACUAAAUCAAAGCAGGGUGGGGGAGCUAAGGCAAAACGAUUACUCUCCCCGCCAACCAACAUUAUUGUUGAAUUGUUGAGAUGCCCUGCUGUUGUUUGCCAUUUACUUGUGUCGUACUUAUUCAGGAACCAAUUUUCUGAGCCCCUUGUGUCAUUCCUGGUGAGAUUUACUGGCAAGUAGUGGCCAUGUGUGGUAGCAGAAUGAAAGACACUGGGUUUGGGGCUGGGCCGGUUUCGGAGAGGAGGACGCCCAGCCGAGAUGCCUCUAUCGUUUCCUGCAGGCUUCCUGUGAACAUCCUGCAGCUAAAUUAAUUUCCCUGCGUGGAAGCUUUAAGCUGACGGGUCCUUUGUGGGUCUGUCAAGACAGGGAAUCCCCAGAGCUUGUCCCUGAUGCUUUUCAGUUUAAGUCCAGCCGCUUCAACAAGCAUAACAAUCACCUUUUUUGUACUGAGCCUUACUUGCCAGCACAGUUCCACACAAGGUGAGAAUGGGGAUGCUUUAGAUGCUGGAAAAAGACAUUUGAGUAAAUCAAAUCAAAUGAGUUGGUAGAUGUCAGGCUAAUUUCAGCAUCCCAUCUGCUGUAUGAGUUUGCUUUUCAUGUGAACAGGCUCAUUUAUAUUUAAUAAUUUAGCAGAUGCUUUAAGGCAGACAGUACCUGGAGAGGGUUAAGGGCGCUACUGCGGACCAGGGGAUUUGAUCUGGGAGUUUCUGAUCACAGACACAGUGCCUCAACCCACUUUGCCACGCACCAGCCCCCUAACAAGGUCCCAGUCAGGGAGAAAAGCUUUGUUCAGGGUCUAUAAGUAUUUUUCAAGCUUUCAUGGUGAGUGAGUGCAGGAGUUUUGCUUAUGAAUGUGUUUUAAAGGUCUGCUCGUUCUCCCAUGUGAUGGCGGCUGCCAGGGGCGCCUGCUGACUGAGGGUCUGAGUUCUAUAGAUGCUUCCGGAGUCUGCUGAUGUGCGACGCCCGCAGUUCCAGGAGUUCCUCCGAAGGUGGCGCCUCACGGUGCCCCAUGACAGCAAACCCACUGUGACGGCCAGGGCCAAGCAGACUCCCACAAUGCACGGUGGCAAAGCGAGUGGCGGCGGGCCUGGGGAGGUCUAGCCCAUGGCGCCUUACAGGAGAUAAGCGGCCGGAAAUCAAGUGGGGGAAAUACUGGGAGGAAAGCUAAGGCCCAUUUUUCUUGGGGGGUGCAGGGAGAGGAGGUCAGAGGGGCAACCAUCUGUGAUGUCAUCGAGUACAGUAGACAUUCUGAUCUGAAAGUAGCGGAAUAAACCACUAGCUUCAUUGGGGGAAGAAGAUUAUUUCUUGAUGAUUUUUGUGACCCUGACUGCAAUAAGCAGUUAGAAGAUAGAUAGAUGGAUGAAAUAUUCAGCACCUGGAUUCAUGUCUUAAUGGUCAAUGCAAAUCAUCCAUUUGAAGGUUUGCUGUCAACUGGUCUAUUGCAAAGACUGGAAACGCACGUCCCAGACACAUGCGGUGGUCUGCAAUGACGCAGUAGCCUGAGCAACAUGUGGAGACUGGGUUGGACACCGAUUUUUGUGCUAUAAUACCCAUGCUGAUGAUCUGCAGUCACGUCAAUUUUCUAAAUGCAUGGAAAUGGAAAUCUCAGUGACCCAUGAAACACAUAGGUGAAUUUUAGAUUAGAACAACAUCCAAUUGUGCUACAUGGGCAGGGGGUUUUUUCGCAAUCAGCACUGUCAGAUAGCUGUCCAUUUGAGCUUUAUAAGAAGCCAUCUGAUGAAGUAGGGGGCGCCUGGGGGGGGCAUGGGGAUUUGCAUUUAAUUGCAGGGUUGGCUCUUCUAUUCCACAAACAUUUCCUCUGUCGGUACGCCUGAAGUUAUUUAGAACCAAUAUUACCGAAACUGCUGGAGAUCUGUUUACAUAUAGCGAGUGUGUUUUGCAGCACGGUGGACAGGAACUGAAUGCAAUACUAUGCAUUGUGAGUAGCGACAUUUGAAGACUGACGUCAUCAGUCAUGUGCAGAAGCUGAACUCAAUCGCAGAUGGCAGUGAAUUGAUUUCAAAUGAAUAUGAGAGACAACGUAACCACUCCAGCUCCUGGAAAAACUAAUACCGAAUUUAAUUUCACUUAUGUUCUGGUGUUCAGUCUUUUUUAAAUCAUCUGUUUGAGGAAAUUACCUCCCUGAAAUAUGAGUCUCUUCACAGUGGAUGCCAUACUGCCACAGUCCUUAUCGUUCAAGCUAGUAGUUUUAGUCAAAUUAAUUAUUACUCACCAGCUGUUGUUUCAUGCAGUAUGUAGUAUUUGUUGAUGAUAAGAAUAUUCCUCAGUGUACAGACACUUUUUUUAAUUUGUGGUGGAUGUGACACACAGUGCAUUUUGCAUGUGGCAAUGGGUUCUGGGUACACAACUGUGGGAUCAGACAUUCCAGGUGGCUUUUGUCUUUCUGGUUGGUUUUUCGCCACUGAUAUCAUAGUGACAUCACAAUGACAUUACACUGAUGUAAUAAUUUACAUUUUGGAACCUGACAAUGUAUUUAAUGUGGUCUCCAGGUAAAUACAUAGGGGACGUAAUGUAUCCCACAUGUGUCACUGUAAGAUGUGCGUGCGUUUAGUAGUUUAACUUGUUUUUGCAUGAAAUGGUGGGAAAGGGAAAUGACAGAGAAAUGUGUAAUGUUUGUGUUUGAGUUUAGGCAGCAAAAAAAAAUAUCUAGAGCCCUCAUAAUCCUGUUUAUUUAUGCUGCAUCAAAGCAAAAACCCAUCUGCAGUCUUGCUAAAGGCCACAGUUCUUUUACAGAUGGCAUGUCUAACAGGAGUACCAUGCAUCUAUUACCAAGGGUACAGAUGUGAACAAUAUCUCACAACAUAAUUUUGCAUGUUUUAAUCUAUUUAAGAACAGCAGAUGUGUUUUUCCGUUUUUCACUGAAUAAAUCUUCAUCUCUCCCUUA